rnacentral:rRNA from 1 species
UACAGAGGGUGCGAGCGUUGUUCGGAAUUAUUGGGCGUAAAGGGCGCGUAGGCGGUGCGGUAAGUCACCUGUGAAAUCUCCUGGCUCAACUGGGAGCUUGCAGGCGAAACUGCCGUGCUGGAGUGUGGGAGAGGUGCGUGGAAUUCCUGGUGUAGCGGUGAAAUGCGUAGAUAUCAGGAGGAACACCUGUGGCGAAGGCGGCACUCUGGGACGGUACUGACGCUGAGACGCGAAAGCGUGGGGAGCGAACAGG